UACGGAAGGGGCAAGCGUUGUUCGGAAUCAUUGGGCGUAAAGGGCGCGUAGGUGGUUCUGUAUGUCUACCGUGAAAGCGUACGGCUCAACCGUAUUUUGUCGGUGGAAACUGCAGGACUUGAGGCUGGGAGGGGCUGGUGGAAUUCCCUGUGUAGCGGUGAAAUGCGUAGAGAUGGGGGGAGAACACUCGUGGCGAAGGCGACUACCUGGCCUGUUCUUGACGCUGAGGCGCGAAAGCUAGGGGGAGCAAACAGG
rnacentral:rRNA from 1 species